rnacentral:rRNA from 1 species
AUUGAACGCUGGCGGCAGGCCUAACACAUGCAAGUCGAACGAGUGGCGGACGGGUGAGCAAUGUCUGGGAAACUGCCUGAGGGAGGGGGAAAACUACUGGAAACGGUAGCAAAUACCGCAUACAAUCAGAUGGGCCCAUAUGGGAUUAGCUAGUUGGUGGGGUAACGGCUCACCAAGGCGACGAUCCCUAGCUGGUCUGAGAGGAUGACCAGCCACACUGGAACUGAGACACGGUCCAGACUCCUACGGGAGGCAGCAGUGGGGAAUAUUGCACAAUGGGCGCAAGCCUGAUGCAGCCAUGCCGCGUGUAUGAAGAAGGCCUUCGGGUUGUAAAGUACUUUCAGCGGGGAGGCGUUACCCGCAGAAGAAGCACCGGCUAACUCCGUGCCAGCAGCCGCGGUAAUUC